GUUUCACAAAGCAGGUUUAGUGAAAACUCUGAGUUAGUUAACCCUGAGAUGAGGGAAACUCUGGUUUUUCAGUUUCACAAAGCCAGUUCAGCUUUACUCUGAGUCAGUUACCCUGGCAACAUACUCCGUGAACCUAACCUGCUCGCUGGCAGGUUUUCUUCAACUAACCCCGAGUUUCUCCUGCUCUUAAGUUGAAGCCUGCAGACUGAAGGCAGUGGCAGACAUGGCGUGUCCUUUUAUUGAAGAGCCAGUUGAUGUCGAGGCGCAGAUACUCCGCAGACAUCUCCACCGGGAGAGGAUUAUUAGACCCCGAUUGGAUGUUUUAUCAUUCCCUGAUGAGUAUCUGUUUGAGCGUUUCCGUUUCUCUGCAUCAUCUAUAAUUUAUAUAAACGAUAUUCUCAGCCCUCACAUCGCUCACAUGACGCAUCGUGGACAUGCUCUCAGUUCCGAGCAAAUUCUUUGUAUUGCACUUCGUUUUUUUGCCAACGGCAGUUUUUUGUAUAACGUCGGUGAUGCAGAGCAUGUGUCCAAGGCAACUGUCUGUCGGGCUGUCCGAAAUGUGACACUUGCACUGAAACGGCUACUAUGCACGUUUGUAGUGUUCCCAAGUCACAGACCCACCAGACUUCUCAAAGAAGAGUUCCACAGAAUUGCAGGUAUCAGUCUAAGCAGUAAUUCAUUUAUGUCAUAAAGCUUUGAGACUUGAAGCACUAAUCAGUCAAUUUGAUAUAUUUUAGGGUUUCCAGGUGUGAUUGGCUGCAUAGAUGGCACUCACAUUCCUAUCAUCGCUCCUUCAAUAAAUGAAGGAGAUUAUGUGAAUAGGAAAUCUGUCCACAGCAUUAAUGUGCAGAUCAUAUGUGAUGGAGCCCACAUGAUUAACAAUGUGGAAGCGAAGUGGCCUGGGUCUGUGCAUGACUCACGAAUGUUUCGUGAGUCGACACUGAGUGCCAGAUUUGCCGGUGUAGAGUUCGAUGGUUACCUACUCGGAGACAGAGGGUACCCCUGCCAGCGCUAUCUGCUGACCCCUUACCCUGACCCUGAGCCUGGCCCACAGCGACACUACAACUU